rnacentral:rRNA from 1 species
GAUGAACGCUAGCUACAGGCUUAACACAUGCAAGUCGAGGGGAAACGAUAUUGGAAGCUUGCUUCCGAUAGGCGUCGACCGGCGCACGGGUGAGUAACGCGUAUCCAACCUGCCCAUCACUUGGGGAUAACCUUGCGAAAGUAAGACUAAUACCCAAUGAUAUCUCCAGAAGACAUCUGAAGGAGAUUAAAGAUUUAUCGGUGAUGGAUGGGGAUGCGUCUGAUUAGCUUGUUGGCGGGGUAACGGACCACCAAGGCGACGAUCAGUAGGGGUCGCUGGAGGACGGUCACCCAAAUUGGAAGGGAGACAAAGUCCAAAAUCCUACGGGAGGCAGCAGUGAGGAGUAUUGGUCAAUGGGCGAGAGCCUGGACCAGCCAAGUAGCGUGCAGGAUGACGGCCCUAUGGGUUGUAAACUGCUUUUAUAAGGGAAUAAAGUGAGUCUCGUGAGACUUUUUGCAUGUACCUUAUGAAUAAGGACCGGCUAAUUCCGUGCCAGCCGCCGCGGUAA